UGCAUGUCCCAGAAGGAUAUCCUUGAGCUUUUUCCAGUCAUCUUGCCUCUGACAGCUGCUCCAAAAGCAACAAAUGUCUAGCAAGCAUCCAAGUGCCCUGCAAACCAAUGAACCUUACCUUCAACUUGAAUCUGGAGCAACUGUAGUGAAUAAAUAACUUUUUCUGCAUUUGAUCUUGUAUGUGGUAGGUGACUGCUUCGUCCAAUACUUCUAGUAUGAUGCCUUAAAGACUUGAAACCUAGGAAGAGCUGUGAUAUCUUGCUAAAAAUUCAGAUGACCAUGAAGAGCCUUUGUUCAGUACUUAGCCACUUAAGUACAUAGACAGCAUUAAUCAUCUGAUGUACACAGAAAACCAUGUGAAGCUUCAGAGGAGAGCUGUAGAUGUUCCUUGUUUUUCAGGGGUCACUUGGAAACAGUGCAUGGAAGUUGGGAUUAUGUGACCAUUCCAAGGCUUUGACACGUCAGUUCAUUUAAAUCCAUGUUUUAAUUUCCUAUUUAUUAUCACAUAGGUUAUUGGUUUGUUAGAGACACAAAUUUGUAAUGCCUGGAAGGAAAAGCUGCAGUGUCAACUCACCUUAGACUUUGGAGAAAUCUCACAGAAGUCAAUCACAGAUCUCCAGGUUUAGAAGUCCUGCUGUUUGUUUGUCUACUUGGUGUGCAUGUCUGUCUGUGUUUAGAGACAUGUUUUUGCUUGUUUGUUUGUUUGUUUUCCCAAAAGCUUGGAAGUGGCUGAGAAUUAUAAGAAUCUACUGAAAUGUGUAUUUGAAAAUCUCAUCCAUUCUCAGGGCGACAGUAAACUAUACCAAUUUUGUAAAAACAGAGAAAUUUUGAAGGUGUGAGCCUUUGAUGCUCAGCCCCAAAGCACUGCCAUGUGGCCAGGCAUUCUCAUCCACAGGCUGGGAUUUCUCAAGAGAUGCCAGCCCCGUUGUUUGUACAAUUACAGACUUCUGCAAAGCUACCUCAUUUUUUCCCCAAUUUCAGUGCGUUUUCAUUUAACAAAGAAAGUAGCUGGAAAAUUACCCAGAAAUAUCUGACCUUUGGAAAGACCUCUAAGGCACAGUACAAUUACCUGAUGUUCACUGAACUGGUUCAUGUGGUUCCCACUCUGAGUGACUUUCUAGGUUCACCCAAGUGUGAAGAAGGAUCUGGUUAUAUGGAGGAGGGCAAAGGAGAGAAUAAACUUCAUGAAAGAGCAAGAAAUCCACCACGGAAUUUUACAACUUAUGUUUGCUUCAAGGGAAAGAAAGGGCAAAUAAAGGUACCCAAGUCAAAGUAGCUUUUUGGAUUUGAACUUCAAAAGAAAGUAACAGAAGAAAGAUCUGAGGUAUCAGUAACUUUUAGUAUAAACUGUUUCAUUGCAUUAGGUAGGCAUUGCAGACUACAUCAAACUUAGCUUUUUUAGCCACAUGACAAAUUAUUAUUAUUAUUUUUUUAUUUUUAUUUUUUCCCAAGUAUGAUAAAAAUAGAACAAAAAUGUAAUUUUUCCCCUUGAGUUUUUCUUUCCUUCUGCCUUUGCUUUCACUGCACACGGGAAAUAACUUGGCUAUCCCAUCACCUGUGUUCACUCCAGGGGCUUGCCGUGGUGUUUCUGCAGCCCUUUCUAUUGUAUGUUCCUUGACACUGGAACAAAGUAUGUGAGUUAUCUGGGGCUGCAAUCUCUAUUAGGCUUUAGGGAAAAUACCUUUCUAAGGAAAUAAAUUUCAUGGUUGGCACAAAUGUGCCUCUGCUAUGCAUUUUUUUUUUUUUCUUCAGUGGAAGGUACAAGCAGGUGUACAUAAAAGUAUGACUUUGAUAGCUUCGUACUGGCAGAGACACAAAGUGGUGUUUUUGCCUGCUGCCCCCUCUGCUCUGAACUGCCAGCUGCACUAGAGGGGAAUGCGGGGAGACGGACCUUCAUGCUUUGUGAGAACAGUAAUAUCUGAAAACUUGAAAACUGCUUAAAACUAGGGAGAUGGAUUUCUGUCUUUGAUGAGAGGGAGCACAGUAUGCAAAAGGAAGUACAUUUGCACAAAAUAAAAUUAUUUUAAAUACUUUUGGAAUAGAAGCACUUCCACAAAUAAAAGCAAGUAGUCAGUGCCCCUUCUGCCUGUGUUAUUGAGCAAAAGGAACAAAUUCUACAAGACUGGCUAGAAACAGAAGAACAUUAUCAUGGAACUGUAGCAAUGAAGCAGUUUCUAAAUAUUUGGUGCAAUAAGAAAAGAAAUUUCAGAAUUUACAUUUGAGAUAGUAGCUUCUAAGUGGAAACUCUAAAUCUACACAGAGAUAAAUAAAAAAAUUUUGAUUACUCCAGUCUUUUAAUCUCGCUGUAUAAAAUAGCAGUAACCUCCUGAGUCCAUGGAGAAUCAUAGUCUGUUCUGCCUGAGAAGUCUUUUGAUGACAGAAAGCUUCACGGGGCAAAAAGAUUUGAUUGUUCCCACUGUGGUCUACAGCAUGCAUCUGGUUUAUGACUGGUCCUUUCCUCUAGGGAAUUAAACCACUAUUUCCUAAUGGUGAGUGCUCCCAUACUCCAAGGCAUGGCAUCAACACCUGGAAUUGCAGACAGGUGCCUAAACCUGAAAUCAAAAACUAAGGUGCCCGUGAGCCUUGUAGUUGCCAGCACAGCUGUGGGGCGCAUACCACGGAGCCCAGCCCCAGCCCCACUGGGACCUACGACCUUGGCCUCCUGAGGAAGCUUUCCUGGUCCUUGCAGGUGUGGGAUGUGCUUUCAGCUGCCAUCCCAGCAGUCAUGGCACUUGUCUGUGGCACAGGAAACUGCAGGACCACAUUUCUGCUCUGGCUGGGGGUGUGAGGGCUUCAAGCAGGGCUGGCCUGCCAGUCCCUCAGCAGGAGGGUAGUGCUGCGCCUGCUGGCUCUGCUUUGCACAGGAUACCAAGCCUUGCGUGGGGCCAGAUGCUAGAACCCAGCUAGUGGGGCUGUUGGUGGAUUUGGUUGUGAAGCCAGUACUGGUGUUGCUCCAAGCACGGCUGUGGCACCCAGCAUGAGGUGAGCAACUUCCACCAGAGGCUGCGUGCUUCACCUCAGGAUCCAGGCACUACCCUAGUGAGCAGGAUGGGGCUGAGGCCUUAUCUAACCUCAGUUAGAUUCCUGCUCUUGGUGGGAGCUCUGCCUAAGCAGUGGGUUACUCAGUGACAGAGGCUCUGUGCAGGCUGGGGCACCCACCUCCAGGAGGCAGCUUGUGACUAUGAAUGGCACCUCCACGGGAAGAGGGACAGUGGUGGUAGGCAGGCAGUGACCUGGCUCACCAUGGAGUGGUGUGUCCCAAAGUAUGGACAGAUUGCACUGUUCUUGUUGACAUGUUAUGGGACUGUUCCCCUUACCAAUACGUGGGGUCAACAUGCCGAGUUCAAAUUUGGAUCCUAAGUGUUAGUGUCAAGUUUCCACAGAAUUUUGUCUUUGGAUCUGCUGUUUUUCCACACAAGCUCAUGGAGUGGGAAUAAAACUGUCCUUUGGGACAAAAGCAGAACAUCUUAAAAAUAGGUGCUCACAUAAACUCUGAAGGCUAAGGUGCUCUAAAAGCAGUAGUCUUUCAUCAGUGUUUGUUUUCAAGCUCAGGAACAACUCUGAGUGAGACUCACUUCAGUUCAGGGAUACAGAAAGGAAAAUCAUAUGUUAGAAGUAAAAGAAAAACCCUGAAUAAGAUUUUUCAGAAAGUCAUUUCUUAACCUAGGUAAGAUUUUCAGAUCAAAGUGAAUGGUUAUUCAGGAAAACACUGAAGCAUGUGGUUAGAACACCAGCUCCCAGACUUUCUCUGGCAGCAGCCAUGCUGGAAGACCAGUUUAGUCUAAGCUCAUAGCAGCAUAAACAGGGAAGAGGUGGAAUUCAUCAGGCCAGUGCCUCCUCUUUUUGGAGGCUGAGCAAUGCGCACAGGUCCAUGCUCCUGAAUUCACACCAGUUCUGUCAUUUUGUCUGCCUGAUACUUAAGCCUAUGCACUUAUCCUGGUCUAUACAAAGUUCACCAAGGUCUGGCAAGCCUACAGCAGUUACUUAUGGGCCACAGAUGGAUGCUUCAACUUACUGGAGAGAUUUGUGGAAGUUUUCUGUCUUCCUGUAAUGCAUACUGUUUGUUAACAGCUGAUUCGGGAAAGGAGCUGACAUAAGGGCAUCAAGGAGUAUGGUUUUACAGACAUGCACUCCCUGCAUUUCUGACUAAAAGAGUAUGUGCUGAGUAGUUAAACUACGACAGAAAGACUGAAAUAUUUGAGAGGUUUAUACCGGAUCCUGCUUUUAACUAUCUGUAGCCCUGUUUGGAGAAGGGUUGUAGUUAGUACAUGCUUUUAGCUUGAAUUUGCACUUCUUCAGUCUGGAAGGAAGAAUGGAAGAAACGUUCUGGGCACAAAUUCCAUGUACAUCUCACACCAUCUGCUAAUAACAUGUGUGAGCCACUCUGCUGCCAGAAACGGAGGAACAAAGACAACAUCAUUAUGGAGAAAAUUACACUGCUCCAAAAAAUGAGACUCAUGCUACAGAUAACUUGAUAGCUCCCUGCCUGUUGGGGCCAAGUCCUGUUCACCUGAUGCUUGCAUAAAGCCUGGAUAAUGUCACUGAAACCAGUUAGGGACCUUACAGAGGCAACGCUGUACCUGCUGAGCCUAAUGAGCAAGCUUUUAGAAAAGACCCUGGUCCACAAUCAUCUCUCUGCCUGCCUGGCAGCAAAGGACAAGCCAGGCAGGCGGAGGGCGGCCAGCAUGAUGCACAAGGAGCCAGGUAAGCAUGGAGGCAGGAGCAGCAGCCACUGCAGACAGCAUCUGGGAGGCCCAUGUUAACAUCAAGGAGCAAGCAAGGAAGGCAAGAAACAGCACAAUGGAGGACAAAGGUGAAGCAGAGGGUAAGGAGGAGAGGCAGAAGGAGCACUGUAGUCUUGGGGUGAGGAGAGGUGCCAAGAAAGGGAAGAUGGUCAUCAGAUAUAUGAAAAUUGUCCUCUCUGUUGAUGCAUUCCAGACUUUUAAGCUUCAGCACUCAUUUGCACCAAGGCUUUCCCCUUCAUCCUCUCUAUGAAGCUGCACCUAGUCCUCCUCCUGAGCACACUUACCAGAGCUAACAGGACCUGUUGUGCCACCAGCUAAAUGCACAUCCAUCCAUGAGCCAGACUUUUUUUAGCCUCUCCACAAUGCAGUCAAUAAGUAAGGGAGGCUAAGGGAUAUUAGCAACUGUCAAACUGCCCAGUAAAUCUACUAGUUUCAGAACUAAUAGAACUGCAAACUAUACUAGGGCAUGUAGCUCUUCAAAAGUAAAUAUUCAUUUACAGCAGGAUCAUAAAAAUCUUUGGGGAACUCAAGAGCAAUGUUGCCUAUGGCUUUUCACCCUUUCUAUCUCCAGGAGCUGUUGCUCAAUGAGGGAGUAUGUGGUGGUUUGUGUGAACUGAGGGGUAGCUGUGAGCAGCUACUUAAAUAGCCCUGAUUAUAUUUGGAGAAGGCUGUUCCCUGAAAGUGGCUAGGAUCUGCGAAUAAACAUGUUGCCGCAGGUAACCGCCUGAUCUGUGCAUAUGGGCCUAAAAAAAGCCAGUUUACUAAGUUUAAAUACCUCAAAAUAAAGCUGAGCAGACACCAGACGCCAAUAACUGUGCCUGCUCCAACACUUAACUUAGUGCAAGAUAUAAAAAGCAGCAUUGUACAGGGGCUUUGUAGUGGCAGAGCAUGUGGCUGGGGUUCCUGUGGCAUUGCAGACUGACCACAUAACAUUCAGUCAGUCCAUAAGGUACUCCUGGGGAGACUGGUGGGCUUUAAAAAUAGGCAUUAAAUACCACAUUGACAGAAAGAUGAAAAAGUGGUGAGGGCCCGUGGAGAGGGAUGGAGAAAUCCAGUGGCUUAUGUUAUUUAAUGUUUUUGCAAAUACAGGGAAUGUCUGCUUGGCAGCUCAUACUUGCAGGAGCAUGGUCCUGCUCCGUGUGCUGGGUGAGCACAUGGAGGGAUGGCACCAUCCUGCUCCCCCCCAGACCCAGGCUGGCUGCUCAGCCCUAAGGGGUCAUGCAGUAGGGUAGAGAGGCUGCAAGAGGCAUGGGGCACCCAAAAUGUGCUUUCUCUCUCUGGUCAGGGUCUCUUGCCACCUGAGGCACCUACCAGGAACCGGCUGAGCCAUGUGCUCCCCUCCGUGAGCUCUGGCAGAACCCGGAGGGCCAGCCCCA